UACGGAGGAUGCAAGCGUUAUCCGGAUUCACUGGGUUUAAAGGGUGCGCAGGCGGGAUAAUAAGUCAGAGGUGAAAUCCUACGGCUCAACUGUAGAACUGCCUUUGAUACUGUUGUUCUUGAGUAAAGUUGGAGUGGGCGGAAUGUGUUGUGUAGCGGUGAAAUGCUUAGAUAUAACACAGAACACCGAUCGCGAAGGCAGCUCACUAAGCUUUAACUGACGCUCAUGCACGAAAGCGUGGGGAUCAAACAGGAUUAGAUACCCUGGUAGUCCACGCUGUAAACGAUGAUCACUCGCUGUUGGCGAUAUACUGUCAGUGGCUAAGCGAAAGUGAUAAGUGAUCCACCUGGGGAGUACGAUCGCAAGAUUG
rnacentral:rRNA from 1 species